rnacentral:lncRNA from 1 species
UUACUUCCCUUCCUUUAAAGCAUUAGGCAGCCAUAAUAAUGCCUCAUUGAAAUUCAAAUAAUGGCAAGUAAAAAAAAUGACAAUACAAUAGACCUUUUAUUUUUAUUAGUUCUUAAUAUUAAAUUAAAAGUAUGAAUAGAAAUGAUCAACUGAUUAUUAUAAAGUCUUCAGUAUGCUAUAGCUGGCUCUUAUAUAUAGAUAUACUUUUAGAUUUAGCUUAUAAAAGCAAAUAUACAAGUUUACUUGGGGCAGAACAUUGUAUGAAUAGAAAUUUCUGUUUCUCAUAUCAUUAAGACAGUGCACAAAGUCUUACAAAUCCCACUAUACUAAUAAUUUGUGGAAUAAAUCUUAAAUAUUCAUUUUGACAAAGCACUUAUUCAAUUCAUAAUUGAAACAGUAAUCUUAAUUAAUAUCUUAAGUUAAAGAGUUAAUUUUUGAUCUUCUUUGACAAAAUUAUUCAAAUUAUUUAAAUCUUUAAUUUUUUAUUACUAAAAAAAAUGCCCCAAAUAUUUUGAAUAAAAAUGUUGAACAGGUUUUAAAACAUUCUAAUUCUUCAAUAUAGUCUAGUUUUCAAUUAGAUCUAUUCCAUAUACAUGAUAUAAGUGGAGGUACACUUGAACUUUGAUGGGUUAUUGUAUGUUUUGACAUUAGCUUUAAUAAUCAGUCGGAAUGUUUUUAAAGGUAUAUUGUUGGUGGCUUUUGGUUAGACCCCACCUUUUCUCCCCUGACAUAAAGUUUAGAACAGUUCUUUUUGUUAAAACACCAAAAUAUUAUAAAAAUCAAAACAAAAUAAAAAUUUGAUUACCAUCUUUUUAAUUAAAUAAUAAGUUUUAAAUUUUUCACUCACACCAUGGCUUAUGUAAGAUCAUGUGCUGAGAUUCAAAAAAGUUUCUAAUAAAUAAAUGUUUAAUUUACAAGUACAAUGAAACAUGGAACAUAUAAAUUAUAAGAUGCAAACUUAAAUGAAAUAAUUGAAUUAAACAUAUUCUAUGUCGACAGUACUCUGUAUCAUUACAAAUGCAUAUUAUUGAAGGCGACUUGAUUUAUACUAUUUUAUCUAACCAUUAGAUAUGGGUUGCGUUCAAUAUCGAAGCGGCUACGUAGUGCUACGUAGAAUUUGACUGUUGAACGUGUAGCUAUAGACUAGUUGUUACAUAGAUAUUGAUAGCAGCUAUGAUAUUGAACUCAACCAAGGUAAAACAAAAAUAAAUUGGUUUUUAUAUUUCUACAAUCUCAUGAAUAUAUAAUAAAUAUUUGAAAUAAAUCUUGUUUUUAUAGCAGUAAGCACAGAACAAAAAUUUUAAAUUGAUUAAAUUAUUUAGCAGCCAUAGUUUUACAAUACAUGUAUCGCUAUCAAUUAUAACAGUAAAAUAUCAAUAAAACAGAAAACAAUAUCAUUAUAGCAAGAAUUCAUAAUUUGAAAUCCUGAAAAAGUGUUCCAAACCAGUUACAUUGGAGUCAAGGGUUAACUAGCUAGUACAUGUAGUAAUGCAGUAGUUAGACUACUUAGACCACUUGGCAAAACAGGCCCCAACAAUUAUUUUUCAAAACAACUUUGUAGAUGAAUCACUCUCAUAAUCAAUUGUGAAAUUUUUUUGAGAAUUUUAAAAUUUUGAAAGGUGACUUAUCGACCUUAUAGUUAAGAAAGAUAAGUGAGAAACUGAAGAGACCAGAGUCCAAAAAAACUUAUAAAUGUUUCAAAAUACUAUAUAAUGUACAAUAAACUCAACUAUGUUAAAAAUUAAUGUGGUAAUAGCCUAUUUGCCAAUUCACGUAAUUGAUCCUGUAAUUAGAGAUCCCUUUUUUAGUUAUCUUCCUUCCUUAUGAGGGACAUAAUUUUUUAUUUACAAUAGAGAGCAAGCAGAAAGAGCAAUCUAUCUGUGCGUAAUGUGAGUAGCUUUUAAGUUUUCCAAAUCUUUUAAUUACAUUAAUUUGUUGUUAAGCUAAAUACCUUAGACAUCAGAUUAUUUUUCAUGAAAAAUUAGUUAAACCGCCAAUACAUCACUUUUAAUUCAUCAUGCUUUGCAUUGGCAAAGGUCAAGUUUGUCUGGUAUAGAAUCAGUCUACAAUUGGCAAAGGAAAGUAAUUUGUUUAAAAAGUGUGUAAUAACAGAAUCAAAUGGGUAAUUGGCAAAUGGACUAUUAUAGGUUUCAGUUUACACAAAUUUAACUUCUUGUGGAUAAAGUGUCACAAUAGAAAAGAAAGUGAAUACUAAAAAUAAUAUUUUUUCAAAUGAAAUACAUUUUAUUUACUUAUUUUCAAUUAAAAAGGAAAAUAAAUAGCAUUUAAAAUCAU